UACGGAGGGUGCAAGCGUUAAUCGGAAUUACUGGGCGUAAAGGGUGCGUAGGUGGUUUGGUAAGUUAUCUGUGAAAUCCCCGGGCUCAACCUGGGCAGGUCAGAUAAUACUGCUGAACUCGAGUAUGGGAGAGGGUAGUGGAAUUUCCGGUGUAGCGGUGAAAUGCGUAGAGAUCGGAAGGAACACCAGUGGCGAAGGCGGCUACCUGGCCUAAUACUGACACUGAGGCACGAAAGCGUGGGGAGCAAACAGG
rnacentral:rRNA from 1 species